UUAACCGGAUUAGAUACCCUGGUAGUCCACGCCGUAAACGAUGUCGACUUGGAGGUUGUGCCCUUGAGGCGUGGCUUCCGGAGCUAACGCGUUAAGUCGACCGCCUGGGGAGUACGGCCGCAAGGUUAAAACUCAAAUGAAUUGACGGGGGCCCGCACAAGCGGUGGAGCAUGUGGUUUAAUUCGAUGCAACGCGAAGAACCUUACCUGGUCUUGACAUCCACAGAACUUUCCAGAGAUGGAUUGGUGCCUUCGGGAACUGUGAGACAGGUGCUGCAUGGCUGUCGUCAGCUCGUGUUGUGAAAUGUUGGGUUAAGUCCCGCAACGAGCGCAACCCUUAUCCUUUGUUGCCAGCGGUCCGGCCGGGAACUCAAAGGAGACUGCCAGUGAUAAACUGGAGGAAGGUGGGGAUGACGUA
rnacentral:rRNA from 1 species